rnacentral:rRNA from 1 species
GAUGAACGCUAGCGGCAGGCUUAAUACAUGCAAGUCGAGGGGCAGCAUAAGUAGCAAUACUUGAUGGCGACCGGCAAACGGGUGCGGAACACGUACGCAACCUUCCUUUAAGUGGGGAAUAGCCCGGGGAAACCCGGAUUAAUACCCCGUAAUAUUAUGAUGUGGCAUCACUUUAUAAUUAUAGAUUUAUCGCUUAAAGAUGGGCGUGCGCCUGAUUAGGUAGUUGGCGGGGUAACGGCCCACCAAGCCUGCGAUCAGUAACUGGUGUGAGAGCACGACCAGUCACACGGGCACUGAGACAUGGGCCCGACUCCUACGGGAGGCAGCAGUAAGGAAUAUUGGUCAAUGGACGCAAGUCUGAACCAGCCAUGCCGCGUGGAGGAUGAAGGUCCUCU